AGAGUUUGAUCCUGGCGUCAGGAUGAACGCUGGCGGCGUGCCUAAUACAUGCAAGUCGAGCGAGGAGCCUCCCUUCGGGGAGGUAUCCGAGCGGCGAACGGGUGAGUAACACGUGAGCAACCUGCCCUCGACACCGGGAUAACCCCGGGAAACUGGGGCUAAUACCGGAUACUUGCCAGUCGGGGCAUCCCGAUUGGCAGAAAGGUUCUCCGCCGCGAGGUGGGGUUCCGGUCGAGGAGGGGCUUGCGGCCUAUCAGCUAGUUGGUGGGGUAACGGCCUACCAAGGCGACGACGGGUAGCCGGCCUGAGAGGGUGAUCGGCCACACUGGGACUGAGACACGGCCCAGACUCCUACGGGAGGCAGCAGUGGGGAAUCUUGCGCAAUGGGCGAAAGCCUGACGCAGCGACGCCGCGUGGGGGAUGAAGGCCUUCGGGUUGUAAACCCCUUUCACCACCGACGAAGCCUUCGGGUGACGGUAGGUGGGGAAGAAGCGCCGGCUAACUACGUG
rnacentral:rRNA from 1 species